rnacentral:lncRNA from 7 species
CGAGAUCACACGAAUGAUGGAUGCUAGAUGUUGAGAAAGUGAUAAAACUCGAACACAAUAAAUGGUAGCAUGGUCAUUUUUCUAAUUCUGCAUCCUUCUGUACUGAUCAAUCUUGGUGAAUGGUUAAUCUUCACAUGCUUGCUCUUGCGUCUACAAAGGUUCUUGGACUUCAUCACUUGAGGUCUUGAAGUAAUCCUUUUCAUUGAGACUUUUUAUGAUAUUUAUCUUCGUACACAAAUUUCAUGGAUAAAGCUUCGUAUGUGUAGUCUUCGUAGGUAAGACUUCGUGCAUCUUUCCUUCGCUGCAUGGAUUCGUGGAUGAAGCUUUGCGUAGUUUAGUCUUGGUAGGCAAGGCUUUAGGGUGAAAUCUUCUGAAAUCUUCAUCCAGCACGAAAUCAAUUCUACAAGGCUAUAUUGAUACCAAAUACUUGUUAGUUGACUUUGAAUUAUGGAGAGACGUGUUUACCUGCAGUGAAAUCUCCAAUAGUUACCGUCCAAAACUUUAGAUUUCUCGAUUUCAGGGCUACGCGACCUAGAGCAGUGUACUCAACACGAAUUUGAGUGUUCUGUAGUCCUAUGUGUUUCUAGUACUAAUCUAUUCUAGCCUCUAGGUGUGUGGGCGAGCAACUAGCAGUGUAGCAUAUCCAUAAUUGUCGUCUAUAUCAAGUAAAACAUUGUUGCCUCCGUUGCCAGCAAUAAAAUUGUGGAACGCUUUACCAUAUGGUUUUAACAACUCACUAUCAAGUGACAAAAAUCGUUUCUCCACAUGUAAAAUUAAUUGGCUACCUUUUCAAGUAUCAAAGGGGAACCAAAGUAGCAGUUGCUUUAGUUUAUGAUUACUCUUUCUUGGUUAAAUC